AUACAAGCUACCAUGUGCUAUAUGACAAUGAAUUUAACUAUAUCAUGUCCGCUGAUAAAAAUUGGUGCGAAGGAACAGUAUCUGAUGUUUCAUCAGACAUGGAAUGAAAUGCUGCUGACCGAAUUGAUAGAGAGCAUAAAGG